GAGUAAUGAGGUUAGGGUUUCUGACUGCUUUCUGUCAAGAGAAAAAAUAUUUCUGAGGUGCUAAGCAAACCUUCGGAGGUAAAUUAGCAGCAGGGCUUAUUUAGCCACUGCUGUCCAUCACCUUCAGACAACU
rnacentral:snoRNA from 1 species